GUUCAGUCAAACAAUUUUUAGACAAUGAAGUUUUCUUUGAUUCUCUGGCCAACAUGGGGACAAAUAGGAAAAAUUAAAUAUACAGAAACUUUGCAACUAUAGGCCAAAUUGUCAUUUUAACUGUUGGUAUCAGCUAAGGUUUUGUGUGCAUCCUGAUAGGUUUCUGGUCAGUUUGGUCUUAAAGGGCCAGUUUUUUAAGGUCUAAGGUAGACUUAAUUACAGAAAUGGAAAAUAUUAAUAGGGUUUUCAUUCAUGUAUAAUACAACUAAAAUAUGAAUUGUCCUUUUUUGCCUUAGAAUGAGCGGUUUGUAUCUGUAGAGUCCUGUUUCUACAGAAGCUCUGAACAAGUGCAUCCAGCAUUAAGUGGAUAUAAUCUGUCAUCCACGCUCAAACAUAGGUAGAGUAAUGUAACUAAAAAUCCUACAAUGGGCAAAACAAAUAUUGUCACACAAGGUACUCUUAUUUUAUGAGAGGCAACAGGGCAGCGUCUGCAACUGGGAUGUUUUGGUUUUGCUUUUUUGUUGUAAUAAUGCAGUGUCCAUCUUUCUCUACAGUCAAUGGUAAUUUUAACAUCACAGCAGUUCUGGACUUGACUGAAUUUGCUAUGAACAGUACAUUCAUGCACCAUAAAAAUAUAAAGGUAAAGGUUUCUGACUGUUUGAUAUAAUUAGAUUGAGGUCACAACUACAGUUUCUUUAACUACAUUAACCUUGAAACACCAACCAGUACAGUUCUCAGUUUAUCUGCUAUGUAUUAAUAUUAACUCAGUCAUCAUUCUUUAUCAAAACAUGCCUCCAUCAUAUCUAAUUUUAUAUUUUUACAGUGUAGUUUAAGCAGUGCAGUUCCUGUUUACUUCACCAACUGUCAUCCUGUUCAUUUAUGCAGAAAAAGGGUUGGUGCUUUCACGCAAACUGAUGUUGGAUAUUAUUGCCACUGUGAGGAUGGCGCUGUCACAGAAGGGUAAAGUGAGAGUUGCGCUGCUCUUUCCUGUUACCCGCAGUGUAAAUAAAACCAAUUUACCAGCAGAAAAUGUUUUAACAAUUUACAUGAACACAACGGGCAACAAUGAAUGCCAAAAACACAUUGAAAGUGACUCAAACAUCAGAGUUAACUGGAGGUUUUGGACUCAGAGUACUAAAAAUAAGCUUUUUAGUGAGCGGUGUAGUGCAGCUUCAACAUCCAUAAAGCACUACUUUCACACAUUUGCUGUUUCUCCUAUAACAAUCACCUUGAGGCUUUUUUCAACAGGAUUGUCUGGGUUUUUUUUAAAGUGUUAAUGUAAUUCCUUGCUGUGGGUUUGGUUCAAGGGCAUUCUGUGAAGUAGAAGUCAUUAUUUGAAGCCAAUGAUGCUGUUUGGGGGAUCAGUGAGAACCCAACAAAAUACACGCAAACGUUUGAGAAUGUACACUCCUAAUCUGGACGGUUAACUGGAGAACUGGUCAGGAAAGAGUCGAGCCAUCUGUAAUAUUUUCGUUCCCCAUACCAGUCUCUGCUGUGAGUGGGUGCACACAAACACACACAGGAUGCAUGCAAGGUUUCAACAUGUGAUUCUGGUCUUGGUCUCUGAUUUGGGGAGGAGACCUGUUGGGACCAAAGUACAUGUGCCUUUAGUCUGUCGGUUCUUUUGUGUCAGAUUAUUUUACUAGUUGAUCUUGUGUUGAAGUCCUGCAGAAGCAUAUAGUUUUGAUAUUUUUAACUCCCACUCUUCUGUUUGGACAAUGCAAUCGUGUACGGAGCAGAAACAAAACUAGUUCGGCCAUCUCCAAAGUGAGUUUUUCUACAUGUCAACAUCUCUGGUUCUGACUCGAAACAGUUGUUUUUGUUUUGUUUUUUUCUUUUAGCUGAUCGUUGUAAAUUUUCUACUUAAGUUCAGUUUGUUUUGUGAGAUUUCAGAUUAGCACAAAUUAAACAUGUCUUUUCUACCAACAAGCCCAAAGUUAAAUGGUGUGUUUUUGGUGUGUUGUUGUUUUCAGACCUCUGCUCUCAUCUGUAUCUUACCUGUCAAUAAACUUCUCUCACUCUGCUC